rnacentral:rRNA from 1 species
CAGCAGCCGCGGUAAUACAGAGGGUGCGAGCGUUAAUCGGAUUUACUGGGCGUAAAGCGUGCGUAGGCGGCUUUUUAAGUCGGAUGUGAAAUCCCUGAGCUUAACUUAGGAAUUGCAUUCGAUACUGGGAAGCUAGAGUAUGGGAGAGGAUGGUAGAAUUCCAGGUGUAGCGGUUAAAUGCGUAGAGAUCUGGAGGAAUACCGAUGGCGAAGGCAGCCAUCUGGCCUAAUACUGACGCUGAGGUACGAAAGCAUGGGGAGCAAACAGGAUUAGAUACCCCUGUAGUCCCUGUCUCUUAUAC